rnacentral:rRNA from 1 species
CCUACGGGUGGCAGCAGUGAGGAAUAUUGGUCAAUGGUCGGGAGACUGAACCAGCCAAGCCGCGUGAGGGAGGAAGGUACAGAGUAUCGUAAACCUCUUUUGUCAGGGAACAAAGACUGGGACGCGUCCCCGGAUGAGUGUACCUGAAGAAAAAGCAUCGGCUAACUCCGUGCCAGCAGCCGCGGUAAUACGGAGGAUGCGAGCGUUAUCCGGAUGUAUUGGGUUAAAGGGGUGCGCAGGCGGUCUGUUAAGUCAGCGGUCAAAGCCCGGGGCUCAACCCCGGCCCGCCGUUGAAACUGGCAGUCUAGAGUAGGAGAGAAGGAUGCGGAAUGCGCGGUGUAGCGGUGAAAUGCAUAGAUAUCGCGCAGAACACCGAUGGCGAAGGCAGCAUGCCGGCUCCACACUGACGCUGAGGCACGAAAGCGAGGGUAUCGAACAGGAUUAGAUACCCUGGUAGUC